UACGUAGGGUGCAAGCGUUUAAUCGGAAUUACUGGGCGUAAAGCGUGCGCAGGCGGUGAUGUAAGACAGGUGUGAAAUCCCCGGGCUUAACCUGGGAACUGCAUUUGUGACUGCAUCGCUGGAGUGCGGCAGAGGGGGAUGGAAUUCCGCGUGUAGCAGUGAAAUGCGUAGAUAUGCGGAGGAACACCGAUGGCGAAGGCAAUCCCCUGGGCCUGCACUGACGCUCAUGCACGAAAGGCGUGGGGAGCAAACAGG
rnacentral:rRNA from 1 species